GGGCUCAUAGACUGCUGUACACUUCUGCCUGGAGGACUGGAGCACUAGGUGUAGCUAAUUCCCCCCUUUGAGCUCACCUUUACAGGUAUGUAACAGUGAGGAGGCAUGGUCUCCGUCAGAGACUGACAGGGAGGGACGGCCACACAGCCUACACAAUGGACUAGAGUUUCCGUCAACAUAGCUAACUUCCUUUGGGGAGGUGGUAUUCCUACAAUAAUAGAAAACCCCCUUCUGUUGGUGCAGGUUGCGUCUGCAGUAUGGGGUAUAUUGGUCUCUAUUGUGUAGACAUAUCCUAAGCAAUGGCGGAGCUAAUAAUCCACUUCCAAAGUGCAAGAGAAGUUCCAGUCUGUGAACUCUACAACACCAAAGUAUUCCGGAGAAUUAGGUCAGGGCCCCUGCAAGCUAGAUAAGACCCAAGGGAGGCAGCAUAAGGUCCACCAUAGAAAUGUAAAUUUAUUUUGGAGCCAAGCCCUAAUGGGAUUGUUAAAACAACGUGGUAACAAGUCGAUUAUUCUGGUGACUAUGACAAAGGGGGCCCUAUUCUCCAUUGCCCUACACCUCAUGUAGUCAUUUACAUAGCGUAAUGUGCCACCAAAUGAGAAGAGGGGGAGGGGUAUAGUACAUCCUCUGUGCACUGGCUUGUCUAGAUGGACAGUCAGUGUGUGGCAAGCCACAGUAUAAAUCUACAAUGCACCAGUGAGCCAACCACUAGCUACCCGUGUGGACCCUGCUACUGAGUACCAAAGUUCCCUGGAGCACUUUGACCUACUCCUGUUUCAAACAGCUGUAAAUAAGUGUAGCAGGGUCCACAGAGACAGUUGGAGUAUGUCUACACUACAGUCAGACAGCUGUGGCUGGCCCAUGCUAGCUGACUUGGGCUCACAGGACUUGGGCUAAGGGGCUGUUUAACUGCAGUAUAGAUGUUUGGGCUUGGGCUUCAGCUCAAACUCUAGGACCCUCCCAUAUUGCAGAUCCUGGAAUCCAGCCUGAGCCUGAAUGUCUGCAAUGCAAAUAAACAGUCCCUUAGCCUGAGCCCCUUAGCCCGAGCCAGCUGGCAUGGGCCAGCCAUGGGUUUUUAAUUGCAGUGUAGACACACCCUUGGAGCCAGCAGGCUAGUGCACUGUAGAUUGACACCCCAGCUUGCUGUGCACUAACUCUCUGUCUAGACAAGCACUAAUAUUCUGCAGUCCUUUCCCUUUCAGCAUUAUGCCUCCAUGUAAAACAAUAUUAUUGCUAUUUUUGUAGGCACAAUUAGGAUAUAAACAUGUUAAAAUAUUUGGCAGUAGCUCAUGAAAUAAUAGAAUGCAGUUUUGGAACUGGUGAAUCCAAUAUACUGUAGAGGAUGUAACGGGAUAGAAGAAAUGAAGUUAAUAAAAAAAAAAAAAGAGAGAGAGAGAGAAAGAGCUAGAUACAUCUCAUUAACAGCUUAGUGCUGUAUUUGCAUUUUUGUUUAAUACUCAAAUAUUGAAGCACUGCAGAUGAGCCAUAACUUUAAAUUCUCUAAAAAAUAAAUACAAAUUAGAUAAAUGCAGAUGAUAUGCAAAUAGUCACCUGGAACCAGUCUAUUGUUCAGCAGUUAACGAGAACGGGAAAGUGAUGCAGGUACUCAUGAAAAGCCUUUCCUAUAAGACUGAAUGCCAAUGUAUAAGUUCUUUCUGAAUCUUUCCUUGAAUUUCUUAUACAGGAUAUACGAGGCUGGCUCAUUAACUGGGAGAAGUUGAUGCAUCUGUAGGUGGGGAAAUACAUGCAGAAAAUUGCAACCAUAUAAAGAGCAGAAAAACACAGUAUAAUUGCACAAUACUUGGGCUAUUAUAAGAAAAAAGAAAUAACCUUUUCUAUUUCCAGUUUUGCUUGAUCAUCGAAUAAAGUAGGAAUAUCACCAGCACUUAGGAUCGUAUUUAGAUCUUCUAAAAAUGACUCCUCCUAGAGCAGAAGAGACAGUUUCUUCAUUUAUACCCCAGAUUACAAAAGCAUUUUAAAAAUCAACUGUUCACUUUCAGUUUAUUGCCUGUCCCGGUAUUCCUGGAUUGGUUGUUAGUUAUGAAAGAGAUUUAUGCUUUAAAACCAUCGUAUUUAUUUCCUUCCCUUUAACAAGUAACUAUAAAAUAAGUAUCAUUUUCCUACUGUGCAUUUUGAGUGUCAGAAUAGGCAAUUUAAAUGUGAAGCUUCAAAACACUAUUAAUGCUGCAAUUUUGUGACAAAACACCUCUCCAUUUUCAGUGCUUCUUGCUCUAUUUCUUCAUUCCUAAUGAUUUAUUGUAUUAUUUCUUUGACUGUAAUGGUUAGGGCCCUAAGCGUUAAGCUUAUUUUUUUAUUUCCCUCACAAAUUAUUUUAUUUUAAUCAUGGCUGUUUCUGCCUUUAUUUGAUGAUCAGCAAAGGGGAACUGAGUGGAAGUCCCAUUUUGCCCAGCACCUUUGUGAGAUUGUCUCUCCAUUCACUCACUGUGUAUGAAACCUGAAUACUAAGAUGGUAGAGCUCUCAGUUUGCCAUAAAUGUCUCCAGUCUCGUUACAGAGUGCCGACCAUCGCCUUCCAUACCUGAUGACAAGAGGGGAAAAACUGUCACAAUCACUAACAUGAAAAUGCAAGUAAUGAUAGAGAUUAGAGAGUUUGUUGAUCAUUAGCUCAGCUUCAUGUGCUCUAAAUCCUUCAAAUGGAAUGAAUUCAGUUUCAAGAAAAACACUGUUGUUCAAUAAGCUUACCCAUCUCUGCUUUCCUCACAAAUAUACUACAAGCACAAGUAACCUCUCAGUACUCAGUGUGUGGUAUAUACAACUGCAGGCUAUGGGAAAAUACAUCUGCCUCACUGAGGUAAAAUGUAAAUUAUCCAGCAACCUGCUGCUGUUUGAAGAUAUCUAAAGACCAUUUAAAUUUUAAAUAGGCAUUCAAAAUCCAGAGGACAUACCACCAUGCCUACUUUAUAAAUAUAUUUGCACUGACAACAUUCAUGGAAGAAUGCAUUGAACACACUGGUAAUUUAUAGAAGUACAAUGUACUUUCAGUGUAUUUUGACAGGUUAAAAGGAAUGACUAACAUACAAAAAAUUUAGCCUGAAAACUAGGCCAUCUGUAAAAAAACAAAUUAUGCACCAUAUACAUACACACACUGUGUGUGAGAAAUAAUUUGGUUUAUAUAAUAACACUAAUAAUAUUUAGCUCUUGCAUAAUACUUUUCAUAAUUCAACCUCAAUUAAUUAUUACCAUCAAUCUUUCCUUUUACAGAAGGGGAAACUAGGGCACAGAGACUUGAAGUAGCUUUUCCAAGGUCAUGCAGCAGGUCCAUGGUAGGGACCAGGUCUCCUGGUCCCUAAUCAUUACCUCCUCGACAUGGCUGCUAUAAAUGCAUUUUAGCAAGGAUGUAUAGCCACUAUUAAAGCUAACAGCAAUAUUUCUCUCUGGAUCAACUGGCCUGUAUCCCCAUGAAGGAGCGUAAGCUCCACCAGCCUAAAAAAUGAUAGUCCUCUAGAGUGCACCUGAAUAAGGGACUCCCAGUCCCAUGCCUUUGAAACACAGCUCUUAAGGGCUCUCGGUAAUGAAGUCCAUAGAGUACCACAGAGGGCCUGGUUCCUUGUGUGAAUGUCCUGAAAGGUGGAAAAUUCUUUGUAGGUCUUGGGACAUCUAUGAGUUGCGAGGGCUAUGCCCCAUGCUCACUCCAUAUGUGGCCGGAUUCUAGCCAUACUUCAUGACGUGUCUAAAACUCUGUUGUCUCAUGACCACCGUUUUUUUAAUACCUAGCUUUCAGUAUCCCACGGGUUUUAUUGUAGGGAGACCUGAGUCUUCAGAGAGCCUGAAACAAUAGCCUUGCAUUUCUAUAAGCGAAAUAUUAAAUAAAUGUAAUUUUUUAGAGAGCUCUUUUGAAAGAACACAUCAACUAAAAUUUGUUCCCUUUGUCCAAAAUAGCCACCUUUGUGUUCUCUGAUCCCUGCCAUCAGUCACAGGUCAUCCCAUCUCGGCCAUCACAACCCAUCCCUGACACCCCUUUCUCCACAAUACACACUUUCACUUUUUAGUUCAUUCAUAUUGGUUAUUUCAUUGUAGGGCUGUUCUGACUUUUCAUUCAUCUUUGAAGAUACAGAAUCAUCUAGGAAAAGGCUGCACUUCAUAUCAUCUCCUAUCCAGUGCCCAAUAAACAAAGAGAAUGCAAGGUUGAAGAAGUCCACCUUUCAGCUGGAGCAGAAGGCGUUACUCUGCUGAGAAGUUACACAUUGCUCUUUCCUGUGGAGAAAAUUAAAAACAAGCUUUCUGGCAGUUCCAGCUCUGCAGCACAUUCUAGAUACUGAAUUGUGUCAUACUGUUUAAAAGACGGACUACAAUACAUCUCCUGAAAUGGAAGACGCUGUGACUUUUUAAGUGCAAAGGGAUCAAUGAAAGGAUGACAGGAAUAUGGACUUGCCUGAGACUGCUCUUGACACACAAACCCGGACACUGUUACUAGCUGUAGCAUACUGUAAGAGUUGGUAGUUUAUGACUAAAAUUAAAAACUAUAAACAUGAAUAUGGCCAUAUAG